GCCUGUGCCAGCUAUAUUUCCAAUACAUUUAUCAGGCUUCAGCACACAGGAUGACUGCUGCACAUUAGUAGGCACAGCCUUCUAACUAGAAGAAACAUAGACAAGUGUCCCCCAUCCAGUGCCCCCUGACCAAACGAGAACACCUUGGAUAUGGAGGAGUGACAUCCUCCUGGAUCCCUGUGACCAUGUAAUUAGCCUCCUAAUGGUUCACAUUGUCCCUCUCAUUUGUUUGCUUAUGCUUAGCUUUCAAGGUCUUUCUUUCGAUGUGAUUUUUUCCUUCAGAUUCAGGGGAUUGAAGCUAAGGUCUUGCAUCUCCUGUCCAAGCAUACUAUCACUGACCUAAUUCUCCUGCUCCACUUGCAUCCAGACAAAACAUCAGCAGGCUUGGACUUGCUCACCUAAGCCUUUACUUCUUUCAUUACAAUAAAUAAAGGAAUACAGCUUCUAAUAUUGGACCAAACAAUACAAAGAUGGACAUUUUAUUUUGAAAUUUAUUACUUCUUCUUAUGAUUUGGUAUAAUGGAUUGUCUAAGAAAUGUCAUCUGUCACUGUCAUCAAGAUUUCUGUUCUUAGCUUGUGUUUUGUAAUCAACAGUUCCUAUAGAAAACAUAUAGAAGUGUGAGGAUUUUCCCUUUUAGACACAGUGUGGUUUCUUUGCAUGAAUUCCUUGAGAUUCUCUCUCUCUCUCUCUCUCUCUCUCUCUCUGUGUGUGUGUGUGUGUGUGUGUUUGUGUGUGUGUGUGUGUGUGUGUAUGUGUGCAUGUGUUCCUCCCUCUCUCCAUCUCUCUCUUUUAGCAGCAGUUUUCUGGUUUUCUUUUCAUGGUUUCCAUAAGAAAAGACAACAUGUUCUGUACCAGAGCCAGUGACCGAUAUUCAUAUCAUGUUCUCGCUCCGCUGUCUCUUGUGUUCCUGUUUGGAGAGCCUCACCCUGCCCAGGGUCACAUUGCCCAGUGUUGCUCAUCACUGGCUACGCUCGCACAGCAUUGGAUGUCUGCUUUCUGUUUUUAAAUAGAAGAAAUAAUGACUACCUAGUUUGAAAGGCUCUUUGGGAUUAUGGGUUUGGUUAAUAUCCUCUAAAAACAAUUUCAAAAAAACUGUAGUAGAAGAUUAUAAAUGAGUUUUUAUGUGAUUGCAUCCCCUGUUGCUUUGAAAUGAAAUCACAAUAAAGAGUCUAAAAGCACUUGGUCAGAGAAGCUAAUCCUGAGUGGAUGCCAUUUACAUUUAGAUUUAAGGAAGUCAGUCUAUUUAUUCUUUCAAACUUUACUACAGGUUCUAAAUUGAGAAAACUCAGAAAUUAAAAGCCCUAGUAUGGUCAUAUAUGUUUUGAAAAGUUAUAAUGCCUAAAUUCAUUGACUUCCAAGAAUACUAAGCGUGAUGAGUAUAAAGCAUAGGCAAGUGCAGUUAGUUACGUUUAAUGAAGCCACUUUAUCGUGGUAAUUACUAAUAAUCUAAUAAUGGUUAUCUAAUAUGUGAUCCAAGUAGAGAGAAUUGGGGUCAUUAGAGUGU
rnacentral:lncRNA from 1 species